UUAUACUGUUUUAUUUUUAGGCCUUUGAUUUGUCAAUCUUACAGUCUUAUUCACAACAUAUUUUUUACUCGAUUUCUGAUUUUCUAAUGACUUCCGCUUUGCAAGAUAGGUAACAACUGUCGUUGUUAUGAUUUUUGCUUUUAGUUAAUGUGGAAGGGCGCAGUGCAUCAUGAAUGUCAUGUUUUCUUCGAGGUAAAAGAUACCAUUUGUUAUGGUAAGUUUUUUAAUCAACUGAUAAUAUAAAUAUCUUACUCUGCUGACACACGAUUUAUAUGAAUUGCUUGAAGGGAUGCAACAACACUUGCAGUGAGUAGUAGUACUAUAUUGCUUUUUUUUUAUGUUACUUUAUCUUACUCUUUAAUUAUUGUUUAUAUGUACUUUGAUUGAAAGGAUGUCUUAUUUUUGUUAUUGUUGGCACAGUAGAUACGUUUGCCCUCUUUGCUCCAAAUCUGUCUGUGAUAUGUCUUAAGUAUGAGACAAGCGUGGAAAUUGCAAACUCACCUAUGUCGGAAACCUAUCACAACAAAAUGGUAGAAAUAACUUUUUCUCAUCUGGCAAUGGGUUUAUGAGAAGAUUGAAUCUGGCAUCACAUCGGAGAUUAAUUAUAUGUUCAAAAGAGUAGGCAAAAGAUUUAUCAACAAAUUUUAUGCAAUGCUGAAACUUACAAUUGCAUGUUUGCAGCAAUAUAACAAUGUCCACACAUACAACAACAAUGAACCAUCCGCGUUCUUUUGCUUUCAUGUACAUUUUUUUAUCUCGUUGGUGACAUGGAACAUUGGUUGUAUCGGUGGUCUCAAGUUGUAAAUUUUCCAGGUGAUAAUGCAUUAAUAAGAUUUGGUCUUUUAUUAUAAA